AAUUGAAGAGUUUGAUCAUGGCUCAGAUUGAACGCUGGCGGCAGGCCUAACACAUGCAAGUCGAGCGGUAGCACAGAGAGCUUGCUCUCGGGUGACGAGCGGCGGACGGGUGAGUAAUGUCUGGGAAACUGCCUGAUGGAGGGGGAUAACUACUGGAAACGGUAGCUAAUACCGCAUAACGUCGCAAGACCAAAGUGGGGGACCUUCGGGCCUCAUGCCAUCAGAUGUGCCCAGAUGGGAUUAGCUAGUAGGUGGGGUAACGGCUCACCUAGGCGACGAUCCCUAGCUGGUCUGAGAGGAUGACCAGCCACACUGGAACUGAGACACGGUCCAGACUCCUACGGGAGGCAGCAGUGGGGAAUAUUGCACAAUGGGCGCAAGCCUGAUGCAGCCAUGCCGCGUGUGUGAAGAAGGCCUUCGGGUUGUAAAGCACUUUCAGCGGGGAGGAAGGCGAUAAGGUUAAUAACCUUGGCGAUUGACGUUACCCGCAGAAGAAGCACCGGCUAACUCCGUGCCAGCAGCCGCGGUAAUACGGAGGGUGCAAGCGUUAAUCGGAAUUACUGGGCGUAAAGCGCACGCAGGCGGUCUGUCAAGUCGGAUGUGAAAUCCCCGGGCUCAACCUGGGAACUGCAUUCGAAACUGGCAGGCUAGAGUCUUGUAGAGGGGGGUAGAAUUCCAGGUGUAGCGGUGAAAUGCGUAGAGAUCUGGAGGAAUACCGGUGGCGAAGGCGGCCCCCUGGACAAAGACUGACGCUCAGGUGCGAAAGCGUGGGGAGCAAACAGGAUUAGAUACCCUGGUAGUCCACGCCGUAAACGAUGUCGAUUUGGAGGUUGUGCCCUUGAGGCGUGGCUUCCGGAGCUAACGCGUUAAAUCGACCGCCUGGGGAGUACGGCCGCAAGGUUAAAACUCAAAUGAAUUGACGGGGGCCCGCACAAGCGGUGGAGCAUGUGGUUUAAUUCGAUGCAACGCGAAGAACCUUACCUGGUCUUGACAUCCACAGAACUUUCCAGAGAUGGAUUGGUGCCUUCGGGAACUGUGAGACAGGUGCUGCAUGGCUGUCGUCAGCUCGUGUUGUGAAAUGUUGGGUUAAGUCCCGCAACGAGCGCAACCCUUAUCCUUUGUUGCCAGCGGUUCGGCCGGGAACUCAAAGGAGACUGCCAGUGAUAAACUGGAGGAAGGUGGGGAUGACGUCAAGUCAUCAUGGCCCUUACGACCAGGGCUACACACGUGCUACAAUGGCAUAUACAAAGAGAAGCGACCUCGCGAGAGCAAGCGGACCUCAUAAAGUAUGUCGUAGUCCGGAUUGGAGUCUGCAACUCGACUCCAUGAAGUCGGAAUCGCUAGUAAUCGUAGAUCAGAAUGCUACGGUGAAUACGUUCCCGGGCCUUGUACACACCGCCCGUCACACCAUGGGAGUGGGUUGCAAAAGAAGUAGGUAGCUUAACCUUCGGGAGGGCGCUUACCACUUUGUGAUUCAUGACUGGGGUGAAGUCGUAACAAGGUAACCGUAGGGGAACCUGCGGUUGGAUCACCUCCUUA
rnacentral:rRNA from 1 species